rnacentral:lncRNA from 1 species
AACUUUAGUUUUAUUUCAUAGCAUUACCAAACAUGAAAAUAAAAAGAUGAACUAGACAUGUAAUAUAGUUUAGUGGUUAAGAUGGAUAUGUAUAUGCACCUUCAACUUCAAGGUCAAAGGUCUUUCAAUCCCCACCUCUCGACUUUAUUGUAAACAUAGGUGCAUAAGAUAGAAAAUAAAGUGUUACAACUUCUUAUUUGUUUUUUCAUAUGUUGAAGUUGUAGAGUAAAUUAGUCACGAUCGAGGGCAUACAUUAUAUGGAUAACCAAGCUUUCGGCCGCAACCGUUAACAAUUAGAUUGAGAUCAAUGGGAAUGCGUAAAAGGAUGAGGCCUCCAAUUUUCAAUUUAAGGGCAGUGCAAAGACAAACCCUAGCUUCAAGAUCCACUAGCCCUUCAAUCAAGCUACAACAUUGAGGGUAGCUUUGGUUUGGUUGGCUGUUAAGAACUAGGUUAACAAGGUUUAACACAUUUGCACAUGCCUCUAUGUUCAGGGUAUUUCUAGGGCAAGUGACCCCAUUGUUGGUAGGUGGGGGUGGGGUUAGGCUUGGUGGGGGUGGGGUUAGGCUUGGUGGGGGUGGGGUUAUGGUUGAUGGGGGUGGGGUAAGGCUUGGUGGGUGUACAGGCUGGUAAGAAGUGACAAGAGAAAAGAAGAGAAGGUUUAGAAGAAAGAAGAUAGCUAGUGGAGAGGUUUUGUUGAAGGAAUACAUUAUUUUUUAAUGAAGUAAAGAGUUUCUUCAAACAAGGAUGGAGAAAAAAGUGUAGCGAUGGAAGGGUUUUUAUAUUGUUAAUUGUGCCAUAGAUAAGAUGAUGAGUUGUAAUUUAAUUAAUACCAACUUCAAUGCUCAUCUUAAAAUUCAACUACGAUCAAAAUGUUGGAUGUAUUAUUCAACUUUGUUUGAUACGUCUCUCUAUAAUACUACCAAUUUUGUUGUUUAAUGUACUAUCUCUUCCAAUUUUCUUUUAUUUUAUCUAGUUGAAAUAUUAUGGUGCACUUACUAAUUCACAGUGUAUUUUUGUCUAAAUAUUUGUAUAUAAUUAGUCUUUUGUUUUUUUUGUGUUGUGUGAUAUAUUUACAUGUUGUUUUGGCUUUAUUUGAUUACGCUUUCAUUUUCUAAAUUUAUGUACGUUCCUUCUCAAUUUUGUUCCGCUGAGUGUUCAACUUUUUCAAAAUAAUGUUUUAAUUAUUGCUAAAAUGGUUUUCGAAUCUUCAUUUGAUUUUUGAAAUAUUGGUAGCAAUUAAGCAAAUAAGGAUGUAUAGUGGAAACUUACAAGUGUACAUAAGCUGAGUUUUAAAAAAUAAUUAAAUAGUUAUUCAAUAGAGUUAAUGAGAUAGUACGGAUUUCUUAAAAAUUAAAAUUGUUAAUUAUUAGACUAAACAAGAAGAAAAAAUAUUAACUACGCUUUCUAAUAAAAUUUAUGUAAGAAAAAAUGGUUGGCUUUCUUUGACUACGCUUGUGUGUUUUGAAUUUACGCUUUCUAAUAAAAUUUAUGGAUGUUUCCUCUCAAAUUUCUUUCUUUGGUUUUCACAUUGGCUUUUCUCAAAAAGCAUUUGAAUAUUGUGGAUCAAAUUUUUUUAAAAUUUAAUAUAUCUAAUGAGUCUUUUACCAAAUAUAACGAAUCAGUCAAAUAUUUUGAAAAUUUUAAUUAUAUGGCAAAAAAAAUUUAGAAAAAGUAGUUCAUACCACGUCUUUUUUGCAUAUUGCAAAUAUGACAAAUAUGAUAACUAAUUAAAUAUAUCAAAGGGCAUGACUAUCAUAGGGCUAUCCACUUUUAAAUUUGUUACUUUUGCAAUUUUGAAGAUGUAGUGACAUGAAUCCUUUUAUCAUAAUUUUUUUUGCUAUUUUUGUAAACACCCCAAAUAUUUAUACUAUAUAGAACAAUUUUGACAACGUAAAAGGUCCACAAGCUCACAAUGAAAAAUACCAAAAAUACCCUGCGAUUAAUUGACACCCAACCGACGUAAUAUAUUUUUGGUAAACGAUCAUUUAGAUUUGACUAUUCUUUUUUACAGAAUUGUUUCGAUCUUUUUUCAAGAUUCUUUGCACACAAUCGUUUAGAUUUGGUUAGUUUUGCUACACGGUCGUUUAUAUUUAAUCGUUUAAAUUUGGGUAGUCAUAUCUAAACUAUUUUUUAAAAAAAAAUUUUGUACACGAUCGUUUCUAUUUGGUAUACGAUCAUUUGGAUUAAUUUUUUAAAUUUGGGUAGUCAAAUUUCAAUAAUUUUUUUUCAUGAAAUUUUGGUACACAAUCGUUUAGAUUUGGUAGACGAUCGUUUCAAUUUGGCUAUUUUUUCUUACACGUUUAAAUUUGGCUAUCCACUUAUAAACAACUUUUUUAGAAUUCUUUGGUACACGAUCGUUUAGAUUUUGCUAUCUAAUAUUCCAACGACUUUUUUUCACAAUAUCUAGAAUCAAAUAACAGUUUGGAAAAAAAAUAAAACAAAACUUACGAAAGAAAAGAAAAAUAUGAUAGAAAGGAAAAUAAAAAUUAUGUUGAAAAAAAAGGAUGACAAGGAAGGGUAUAAAUAUUUAAAAAAAAAUCCAUAAGAAAAGAGAAGAUGAUGAAAAAAAAAUUACAUAGAGGAAAAGAAGAAAUAGCAAACGUGGAAUAUUUUUAAAAAAUGACAAGCUUCGUGGAUUUUUUCAUUUUGUUAUAUAGAUCGUAAAUAUUUUGUUGGUUUGUUAUAUUUAUGAAAAUUAACCUGUAUUUAAAUAUCUUAAUUUGAUUUAUAAAACAUUAGUAGAAAACAUAUAAUACAAAAUAAUAGAGAUAGUAAGAUUGUAUGAAUUUUUUAACAGGCUCGUUGUAAAAUGAACAAAAUAAAUUCUAAAUAUAUUAAGUAAUUAUAAUAGAUAAUUAUUUUAGGAUUAAUAAUUAAGGAUGUAGUAUCAUUCUUUAGAAAAAUGUAAAUAUAACAAAGUUUAUCGGUGAUAAACUUUGACAAAUUUUGCUAUAUCUGUAAUUUUUUUAAAUGUUGCUUGAUGUAUGAACAGGUUUCGUCGUUCAAACUCAUGCCAAAUAAUAAAUCUAAUCACACACCAAGAACUACUCUUAGUGGCAAAGUUCGAGUCGAACUUAGAGAGCAUAUUGACUUCUCAAACAAAUUAGUUCUCACCCUGUGACCGAGGGAGGGUUUAAGUAGAAAUUGAUGCAAGACAGUAAAUUGCAUAAAACGAAGGUGAAACUUGAUAAAAUCCAAUGACUAAAGAAUCUAGCUUCGGUUAUUACAACUUCAACCUAAUUAUCUAAAUAAUUUAUUAUAUGUAAUCUUCACUUAACCAAUUUAAUUAAUUGGAAAAAAGGCUAGUUAAUUUGUCCUAAGGUUUUAAUUGUUCUAACCCAAUGUGAUUCAACAUGCAAUACUGAAUUUUCCAAAGAGCAUUAAGUUUCUUUAGACAGAGUGUCUAAUUUUCCAAGGUCUAAUUAACAUUAAAUAAUAGGUUCAAAUUCUAGUUUGGUUAGAAGCACUAUGCAUCAAAAUAGAUAUUUACAUGCUAACCUAACCUAACCUAUUGCUUCUAACCAAUUCUUAUCUAAUUGCCAUGAGUAAAAGAAAUUAGUGCAAAUAUAAUUUACACAUUUCUCACCAUUCAACAUGCAACAAAAUAUCAAUUAAAUUCCGAAUUGAACCAAGGAUUAUAAUAGAAACUAAGUUUCAGUUCUCAUGAAUUCUAUAGGACAAAGGGAGAAUCUAAGAACCCUAAGCUAGAGACGAGUACCUUAGCCUCUCAUCUAAAUGCCGGAUGAUGAGAAGAAGUUUGGGAACCAAAAGUACACGAAAGAAAGUAGAAAAUAGGGAGAAAAUUAAAAGGGUGGAGGUUGGCUAGAAAGUAAAUUAGGUUUCAAGUGGCGGUGGAACUUCUUUAACUCUUUUAUAAUAAACAUCUAGGUGCUGCGGCGCUCAAGUCUUCGCACACGUCGUUUCACAUUUUAUCUUCAGAGCACCGUGGUGUAGAGAUAUGUUCACAAAAUCUCCCACAUUCUGCCUUAUUGCAGCGCCACCUUAGGCGUUGUGGGGCACCAUGGGCCUACAAGGAAGAAUCCAAAUGGCUUCUUUUGCUUCAUCUUUCUCCUCAUAUUGCAAAACGGUUUGUCUUGAUUCACAUCGUUUAACUUCGUAUUGGUCCAAAUUAGCUCCAAAAUAACAUUAACUUCAAAUUACACCUAUGAAUUGCUCAAAACCUAUACCACAGUCAAAUAAGAUUGUAAAAUCAUGGAACGAGCUCAAAUUAAACGAAAAUAAUGGAUAAAUAUUUCAUACGCUAUCAUUGCUAUAUAUACUAAUAUUUUGAAUCUAAUUGCUAUAUUCACGAUUAUUCUUAUAUAUUAGGUUCGUAAUAAAAACUUUUUAGUUUUGCGAAAAUAGCAAAAGACCAAGCUCAACCCGCAGUUGAAAACAUCAAAUGUAAAAAUGUAUAGUUAUACGUGAUACAAAUUUGAUAUACACUUGAUAUAUUUAAUACACCUGUGCAUUUGAUACUAAUAUAGUUUGAUGCACUUAAUAUACUUGAUACUUCUUAAAGGUUCAAACUGCAAGACACUUUCCAAUAUAUGAUUAUUGUUAGAUUCACGAUACACUUGAAAUGUUAAUUUUUUUAUCUGUAGAAAAUUUGAUAUAUUUUUUUUAUUGAUGUAUUAUAAAUUACCAUCAGUGUACUAUAAUCUUUUAUAUACUAAAAAUAUGGAUAGGUUAGAAAAUUAAAGAAGAAAAAAAAUAUUGAAAACUAAAAUUUGCUUAAGAAAAAAGAGAUGUGUUGAAAUAUAAAAUAAAAUAAAAAACAACUAUUGGAAGUUUUAUCUAUAUAUACAAAUAUAUAGAACAAAAGGGAAAAGGUGGUUCAAAUUAAUGAAACAAAAUUAAAAAGAUGCUUUUUCCAUAUAAACAAGAAUGCAACAAAUUGAAAUUUUAAAAAUAGUUUAUUAUUAUUUUUUUAAAAAAAGAUACCAUGGGAAGAUAAGCCCAUAACAAGGUACCCAAAGAGUUAUACAGAAGCAUGGAUAUUUAAAUGAAUCGAACUGACAUUAUAGUUAACGAAGAGCUUGAAUCUAAUAAACAAAUGUCAUGUUGAGAGCUUGAACAUCAUAUAGUCCAUUUUUCUGUGAUUUCUCUCCAGCCACAAUGACCAUAGAGUCACAGCAACAACGUUAAAAGCGAUAGUUCCUUUUCUGUCAUUAUUCUGAUUGUUAGAAAAAAUCUCUUUAUAGAGGGAUUUAACGUUGUCAUGAGUAUUGUACCAAUGUAACAGAUUUCUCCAUAGUUCUUGGGUGGUUUUGCUAGAAAUGAAAAUGUAAUCCAUGGUCUCCUAGUUGUUUUUACAGGGAGAGCACCAUUUGGGUUGAGGUACCAAUUUGGAAGCGUCUUUAUAACUUUGAUGCACCAAUUUGGGUUUAGGUACCAAUGUGGGUUGGGUCCAUGGUCUCCAAAAUUAGUUUAUUAUUAGAAUACAAAAGGACAAAAAUUAUAACUAACAUGUUUCAUAUGGCAUAUAUAUGUUUGUCUUUUAGGCUUUUGUUGGUAGAUGCAACUAGAUAAAUUAAACUAAUUAUUAACCAAAUCUUUUAAGUCUUUAGACAAUUAAUUGCCACUAAAUGAGGAUUUUUUUGAGUGGUUGGAUUACGUAAGUACUUUAAUUAAAUCCAUUAAUAACUCUUUUACAAGUCAAAUGUUUGAAUAGUAAUCCAAUAUUAAAUUCAUAAUUUUCUAAAAAUGAACAUUCUUAAUCGAGUUGAUAAACACUUUUUUAAUCAAUAAAAUAUAUAGUUGGACAAUAUACAUGCAUCUAAAUCAGAGAGAAUACGAAAAAAAAACAAAAGUUUAACGAUAAUUCAUAUGAAAGGAAAUAAAAGUAGCUACUAACAAUGACCAUGGUAAUUUAUCUUAUAUAUCGAACCUACUUUUCUUUUUAAAAAACUACAAGUGUUACUUAUGCAUGCUAAAAUUCUAUGGCACCACAAUGAUUUCAAUUAUGCACCUAUGUGUCACACAAACACAUAAUGUGAUCAUCAAAACAUGCAUGAUCAGGAUAAAGUAAAAUCGCAUGUGUACACCAAUAAAAUGUUUCUUAUCGCACCACAACGAUUUUAAACACGAUACAAAUAUGAACAAAGCAAAAUUAGUGGAACAUGCAUGCAUGCAUGUCUAUCAAAAUUGAUUGACCAAAAGUUUUCAAGACUUUCGAUCAAACCAAAUUAAUUGUUCCGUUUCUCACAAAUCUCAUAGUGAUGGGUCGAUCCGCAUAGAACCAACUAAUUUUUGUUUAAGAACUACUUGUUGCAAGGUAACCAACAGAGGGAGGGUGUGGAUUGCUGAAUGGGAACAAAUGAAGACUAAAUCAAAGGACAAUGCAAGAACACAAAUCUAAUGAUGGUGGUGAUGAUACUAACCAAAUGAAACAAAACACGUAGCUAGCUUGAGAUUUAUUUCGAUUUACUUUUAAUUAACUCUCAAUCAUUGAUUUGGCAUUCAUAUUGUACCCUUAGCAAACAAUAAACAAUUUCUUAGCUAACCACGUCCAGAGAAACUAGAGUAGUGUCCUAAGAUUCAAAUCAAUUUUUAUGUUUAGAUGAAGAAUCCUAAACAUGCAAACCAAUAAGCAUUAACGUUUGAGGCUAAAAACUAAGUAGAUCAAACACAUUUUGAAAUUGCCUAAUUGAAUGCUCAUAUGAAUUCAAUCCUAAGUUAAUUAGACAAAUGUCAUUAGAUUGGAAUAGUCUAAUUGAUGAACAGUUCUAACUUAACUUUUGAUAUCACAUGAUCUUCGACAAUUACGGAUUAAAUUAAACCUUUAACAAUUUAUUAAAUACACAUAGCUAAUUUCAGUAUUCCCAAAAUACCAUUCAAUCUCAAAACAAAAUCAAGGAAAUGAAUUCAAUUAUUCAAAUAGUUUCCAAAAGACAAAUAUUCAAAAGCUCAAGAAUGUAAAUCAAAAGGUGAAACUAAAAGCUCGAGCUAGAUAUAAUUAGUACAUUAACCUAGAUACAUCGUCAAAAAACAUGAAAAAUAAUCAAAAGAGUUCAAAUCAAGGGAACAAAAUAAUGUGUUUUUUUCUCUAAAGUGUCUCUAAGUUUGUGUCUCCAGGUGUGUGGAAUAAGGGUUGGCAACUAGGAUAAUAACCCAGAAAAAUAUAACGGUGUCACAAUGCGCAUAUAAUCUUCCUCUCAAGUUUGGAGCGCCAUGGCGCCCAAGGACAGUGCCACGUGCACGAAAAGAGGCCUUUUUGUCUUUCAACGCUGUGCCAAUGCCCAAAAUUAGGGCUCUUAGCCUUUUAGUGUUGAGACUAAAAUUUUCGAACAACAAAUCAUUGUGAAUUGGUUAACGCUCUAAAUCUUCAAUAACGACUCUCAUUUAGUUCUGAACUAAACAUUAAGGUCAAGAAUUAUCUGAAUUGAUCUCAACACCUACAAAGCCACAUCAUGCGAAAGUAAAAUUAUGAAAUGAUCUUGAUAUUAGUAGAAUAGAAAAGAUAGCUUAUUUUGAAAGCUAUCACAAAUAUAUCAGUAAUCGAUAAUAUCAAAUAACAUUUUUUCAUAACCACCAAGUCUUAAAGCCUUUUAUCGAAGGAGCCACUUAGCUCAAAUGGAAGUUCGAUAAACAACCCAUAUAUAAUUAUCAACGCAAACUCUUGCUUGGGACACACUAUAACAAUUUUGCACACUAAAUGAUCCCUAGACCAACUAUUAAUCUUGAACCCAAAAGAAAAAGAAAUCCAACUUAGUCCAAAUAAUUAACUGCAAAUUUUUACAAAUUAAAUAUGCCUAGCAAAUUAACUAUUAAAAUUGAAUAGAUAACAAAAGAAGCCACCUGUAACACUUUCUUUUUUUUCAUAUUACAAAUAUGAUAAGUAAUUAGAUAUAUCAAAUGACUAUUCUCUUUUAAAUUUGUUUUUUUAGCAAUUUAGAAAAUGUAUUGACAUUUUAAGUUAAUUAAUAGAAAAUUAAACAAUAGAAUAAACGGAACAUUAUUAAUGAAGCUCACUAAUAGAAGUGUAUAAAUUUUGAAAUGAUUGGAGGCUAAAUCAUGUAAACUCAAAAUCUAUGAACAAAAGAGUACCUUUCUUCGUUUAAUCUACGUUGUAAAAUAUUGCUAACAAUGAGAGAACUUAAAAACUUUUUUGACUUGUUUUUGUUAAGGAUGUACACAUUUCUUAACAAGUUAAAUUUAUCAUCAAAUGGAUUCAAAUAUACUUGUAACUUGUGAUACCAACCAUUGUUUUAUGUAAAACUAAUAAAACAAUUACUAAGCAAGGAAAGUUGAAAUAAUGAGUUGUUUCGCCAUUAAUUGUUGAUUUCGUAAAGUAAGUAUUAAUAUCAUAUUAAAUGAAAGGUUCAAUCAGUCAACACAUAUGAAAAUUGUGGAAUGGCCUUUGCCUACGAUAAUAUGGAUUCGGGACUUGAUGGCAACAACCAUUCUCUGGCAUCUUUGCAACCAUGUAUGUCAUGCUAUAUCUACUUGUCUUAAACUACUUACAAAUAUAAGAUUAUUGCCACAGACUAAUUAGCAUUGAAUCCUUUCAAUGUACUCAGUCUUUCGAUUGAUGCUUCUUCUUCGAAGUAUAUUAGUGGAAUUUUUUACAUGAUUUGUGUUCUCACUUUACAUGUUUUCUUAGAAGAUUCUCAAAACAUCAUAAAAUUACUCUAUGUCAAGCACACUUAAUUUUAGAAUUCUUAUGAUUUAGUGGUUAAAAAAGAAUGCACACUUUGUUUGUAUAAGUAGUACUACCAAUCAACUCUUUUUAAGCUUCUCUUGAACAAGCUUUCAUGUUCUUCCUAUCUCUUAUGUAGAUGUAAAUUUGGAUCAUUCAUAUAUUUAAUUUCCGAUAAACUAAGGACAUUACAAAAAUUAAACAAUAGCACUUCAUCGAUCAUCCAAAAUCGUAAACUUGGGCAAUUGGCAUAUUUAGGCCCUUUCAAGUUUUGAUUUGGAAAAUAGACCUAGUUAGAAAAGAAAAAAACUUGGGUACGUGCAUCCUCCCAUCUCUCUCGACCAUAUAAAAUUAAAUUAUCUAAUACUUUUUAGAAAUAUUUUAUUUUUGUAUGAUGAAGACAUAUAAAAAAGCACUUGAGAUAGAUACAUCUUCACUUUAUUUUUACCCUUCUUUUCUCAUUAAGUACAUAAAAAGGCUAUUCUACCGUAUACUUUAUUAUUGUCAAACCUUCAAAAACUUUUUUCUCGUUCUUCUUUUUUCCAACCUAUCACGUCCUUUUCAAUUUUUUUUUUUCAACUUUUCCAUUUUUAUCUAUCAAGUUUCAUCAAAUUUAAUUUUGAUUGCCUUCGACGAAUUUGACAUAUUUGGGGCUGGGAAGAGGAAGAGAGGGUGGAUCAAAGUGGAGUUGGAGUGAAUAUUUGACAAUUUUAUUGAUGAUAUUUUUUAUGUUUUUUAUUGUAACUCAACAACAAGAAGAAUUAAUAUUUCAACAUUUAGCCUUUUGGUUGAAAGUAUUUUUGUUAUCAAGUUUGUUAUAAUAUUGUUGUUUGUAUGCUUAACUGAUAUUAUAUCUUAUAGUAUAUCAUGUCUGUUUGAGUCUCCGAAUAAAAUGGUCUAUUAUCACUCAUAUAUAAUUCUAAAUAUUUCUAUUAGGGUAGAAUAAUCGGCUAAUUUGAUCCAAAUUAUUUAACAAAGAUGAAAUCCAAUAUUAAAUUUAGUUGACUGAAAUUAACCUCUUAUGAAAAUGCAUUAACAAAGGUGGCUACAAGACAGAAAAUGAUCAGUUUAUCACUAUAUCCAAACUUUAAACAAAUAUUAAAAUAAUUAAAUUAAUGAUAAUACUUUUAUCAAUAUCUAUCCUUAAUUUAAUAAGUUCUAAUGAUAGAUCGUCAAAAUCAACCAUUUCACGGCUCUCAUGUUUUUGUAUCUUUAAUAGGUUUUUUUUUUGUUUGAUAUUUUCUCUAGGAAAAAACUGACAUAUAAUAUUUGUUUAUAGUUGUUAGGAUAUUUUAUCAAAUAAAUUAUUCUUUUUAGGAAGCAAUAAUAUUUUACCAAUCCUUCCUAAUAUCUAGGAGUCGUGGUGUAAGUUUGUUUCCUUUUUAUAUGGAAAAGGUUAUCUGCAUAAAAGAUAUGAGGAGAUUUUAUAUAUGUGAUCUAUGAUGCAUAUGUGAUUUGACGAAGAAAUUAACAAUUCGGGUCAAGGUGAACGUUUAAUGGCUAUAUUGUAUUUAGCUUGAUAUUGAAGACUUCUUGUUGUGAUGUGAACUUUGAGAAGAUAAGAAAUAUACUCGAAGAGCAAUGAAUUGAGGGAUCAAUUCACAAAGUCAGGGAGAACCUGGACUAGUCUUAGAGGAGAUUUUGAUUAUCUUGAGGAGAGCCUGUGUUUAUAUUUUAGUUGUGAUUAUAACUACUUUAUGUAACUAGUGAAAUAAGUUUGAUGAGUCUCAAUAAUAUUUCUGAUGUGAGCAAACAAGCUCCUCAAAUGUAGGUUGUAUUUGCCGAACUGGAUUACCAAAGUACAUUGUGUUAUUUAUCUUUAGUGUGCUCUGGCUAAUCUUGUAGUUCAAUACUUGUGAUAUAGCUCAAGAGUAUUUAACCUUCUCACUUUUCAAGGAGUGUUUCCUCGAGAAGCAUGCGAAUUUGAAGCCCAUAUUUUAUUAAAAGAAUGUAUUUAAUAUAAAAGAUAUUCUUUUAAUUAGAAGUUUAUCUCAAGAUAUUAUUUUAAAUAAUAUAGAUUUGUUGGUUCAAAAUUUUAUCUUUCCUUCUUUCAUGGAAUAUGACCGUAUCUUGAGUUUCUAUAUAUUUCCUUCUAGUUGGCAUCUUGGAGUGAACGAGUAAGUGAAAAUGAGUUUUUGAUAAAGGAAAUCUAUAAAACUAGAAAAAUAAUAAUAAUAAUAGAACCAUGUCACUCCAUUAUAUAAAUGGUAAAAGUAGCAAAUUUAAAGGCUUAUAGCCCUCUGAUAGUCAUUGGAUAUCAUUAAUUACUUGUCAUCAUUUUCGCAAUAUGUAAAAAAACAUGUGCUAUGAGUAGUUUUUUUCUAAAUUGUUUUGUCAUCAAAUGUAAUUUUCAUUUUGGUAAUAUGUGAAGGAUAAAUAGAGCAUCGACAAGUAAGCAAACCAGAUUGUCUGAAGUUAUCUUUCUUUGUUUUGUGAAGAAUGGCUGACUCGACAAGAAGAUCAAACUUUCCUAUGAUGAAGAAAUACUAAAUCUUAAUCAGAUGAUUGAUGAUAAACUUGAUUAGGGGAAGUCUUUACUGUCAAUACCUUAAUAUGCUGAUAUGAGAUAAAUGAUUAAGGGAGAGUUUUUACCCUAAGUUAUCUUUAAUAUUUAUUAGUGAUUAAUUUACUCCCAGGAAAGUUGUAUCAGUCGAAGUACAUAAUGAAUUUUAUAUGUUAAAUCUUUGUAAGUAUGAUCAUAUAGUUGUGAUUAUGAUUAAAAUCUCAAAGUAAUAAAACCUCAUAUCUCGAAUCAAGGACCCUAGAUGUAGAUGUUGUAUCAUCGAACUGGAUUAACAAUGUUAUUAUAUUUUUGUACAUUUUGAUGUGUCUUUCGUUAUUAAUUAGAGGUUCUUCUAAAAGUACAGUUGUUGACUUAUAUGCAAUGUUUUAUCAUAAUAUAAUCUAUCUAGGCUUUUCUAUAUGUAUUUCGUAUCAUAUCAAAUCGUUAUUUUAUCUCAUUUCCUAGUUGCCUCCUCAAACUGAUAGAUUCUGGAAAACAACCUGACUGUCCUUCCUCCUCAAAUUGAUAGAUAGCUAAUUCAUUGUUUUUUUUAUACAGAAGUUUUUGCUUCCAAAACCUCGAUUCCCCCAUAGGGCUUUUCCUGAGUAAACAAUGUAAGUCCACAAAAAUUCGUAAGGUACGUUAGUUCCACACAAGUUAUGUAGGAAGUUGUAUCCCAAUAAUGCAGUGUUGAACCAUAAGUUGGCAUGUGUUCUUGAAGGACAAUAAUGUUCUUCGACCCAAAGUAGAGUCUGUCUCAAAACUCUAACUAUUUUCUUGAUUAUUAACAUUUUUUUAUUGUUUAUUUGUUUUGUUAAGUUAUAGUGUUCCUACACGACUGACUUUCACAGUUUUAAUAUUGGCAUAAAAAUGAUUUGUAAGGAGUCAUAACUUCUUGUUUCUUCUUCGAGAAAGUGUCGUCUGAAAGCGUAUAAAUUAAAAAUAAUCAGCCUAAUUAUAAAAUGGGAGACAAAGGAAAGGAAAAUCUAACUUCAUAUAUCUAUGAUCUACCAAUUAUUCAAGUCUAUUUUAUUGAUAAAGUAAAUGAUAUAUAAGAUGCUGAUAGGCAAGGGUAAAGAGAAGAAUUACAAAAAAAAAAAAGGUAUUUUAAUAUAAUUAUAAACAAAUAAGAUGAAAAUUAAACACUACGUAAAUUUGGCCUCUAAUAUUAACUUUUCACUGACAUUAUAGAUGUACGAUGUCGGUCAAGCCUCAUAAGUAAUCUUAUGGUAAGAUCUAUUUGAGAAAUAGUUAAAUUUUAACUUCUAAAAUCAUGAACUAAAUAUUAAACUAAAAAUGACUUAUAAUUUAGGGAAAAUUGAUUUACUAAAUAUAUAUAUAAUUGAAGGACAAAAAAACAAAAAAAAUUAGAGUAAGUUUACCUUGUAGGGCAGUGUGCAAACGUACAUUCUUGAUGAAACAGCAAGCGAUUAUUAAAGAUAAAAACACUAACGUCUUCGACAGAAGAUUUAGAACUAUAUUAAAACUCAAUACACUAGCAGAUCUGAAGCAUCCACAGCUGGCGAACGAUUUUAGACAAUGCGGGCGGCUGGAAAGUCUAAUCGAUGGCAAAACACCAGGGACUAGACAUGGUGGCUAGACAACGCACGUAUGGGGGAGCGGCUAGAUCAACGAAACCUAGUAGUGUCAUCGGUAGGAUCCACUUGCUCAUUCACUGACAAAAUGCGGCGAUGAACCUAAUCGAAGCGUCCGAAUGAAUGACCAGAUGAACGGCGACCUCGUGGUGCGACUUCAGUAAAUUGGUGUGCGGUGUGGAUAAGCGAAGCGCUCAGCUGAGAGGAGGGAGAGAUAUUUGUGCAGACUAUUGGCAGACACAAACAAAGAGCCGACUGUAACAAUGUUUCCCUUUUAACCCUAAACCCUUAAAAACAUAUAUAUAUAAAAUAAGAUAAACUUUUUCUAUAAAAAAUGUGGGUCUUUAGUGUCGAUUUUGAACUGACAUUAUAGAUAUAUAUACAACGUUAGUCUAAAACCAACAUUAAUCUUCUGGGUGGUAAUUCAUCAUCCAUUAGAUUCUAGGACAAUAUUACUAAGAAGAUACACAAGAAGCUUUAUAACUGUAAAUAUUCUUUCAUUUCAAAAGGGGCAAGAUCACUCUUAUUAAUUCGAUUCUUGAUAGCCUUCCCAUAUAUCAGAUGUCUAUCUUUACAGCUCCUAAGGGAGUAUACAAAAAUAUUGAGAAAAAUUGGAGAGACUUCCAAAGCUAUGAAAAACUUGAUGGAAACAAAGAGUUAUGGGAUGAGUUUUCAAAAUAAUGACAUUUAGGACAAAUGAGCCGAAGAAACAUCUAUUUUGCCCUUUAGUGGAUAUAAAAAUUCUAGAUCCUCCACAGCUAUCUACGUAAAAACCCAUCUCGUCAGCAAUUCAGAUUCUUGUUGAUAACGAUUACCCCAACGAUCGUGAUAUCAGAGUAGUGUGUGUGUCAGCAACGAUACUUACCUAACCGACUAGUGAUGGUGAUUAGGUACCCAAACCAAUGAGAUUAGCAUGAGGUGGAUCUCAUCGGCGGCGAAACAUGGAGAAGAAGAUAGAUAAAAAGAAAAAAGAUUGAGAGUUACAAUUUGGUGUAUGGAUGUCACUGCCUUUGAAAAGUUAGUAGGGAAAGUAAAGAUGGAAGGUCUUUUUUUAAAUAAGAAAAGUUGAUUCCGUGUGUCUGCAACAUAAGAGACGAUAGAUACUUAAAUUUUUUCUUUUACAUUUUAUUGAUUGGAAUUUCUUAUAAAUUUGUUAGUACUUAAAUAAAUCUAAAAACCUGCUUAAGUAUGUUUAAAAUCAAUUUUAUAUGUGUUUUGCAAGAUGAAAAUUUGUAACUAAAAAUUUGUUAAAUAGGUUUAUAGUCACUCUAAACUAUAUUUAAAACAUCUCAAACAUGUAGAAAAUUUAUUGGUUAGAAAGUUUCACUUUUCGGGAUAGUGAGAUAUCAUUGUUCAAACAAUAAGAGAGUUACAUAUUGAAACUAAUAAGAUUUAUACUUCUUAUAAAAUAGAUGAACUACUCAUCUCAUUGUCAAUUGAUUUUAAGAUGGAACUCUCAUACUAGCUAAAAACUUUCGAUACAAAAUGUGUAGCUAAAAAUUUCUUAAAACAUGGAUAUAAUCAUCCUAAAUUAAAAAGAAAAUAAAAAGUGAUUUAGGUUUAUACGUUUAAGCCUAAGGGCAUAAAACAAUAAAAAAAAAAAUGAAAACAUCUUAUGAUAGUUAGUUAUAUGUAAUUUUUUGUAUAUUAACGACUGUCAUGAAAUGUCACGAAUUUAUAUAAUUUGACAUAUUUUGUUUGUCAAGAACAUGCCUAACCAAGUCUAUCAUUGAAUGUCAAUAAUAUGUCUAGCAUAACUAUAAUUGAAUGUCAAUAAUUUUUUUUAAAAAAAAAAAUCAAAUAUCAUAUACUUCUGUAUUACCACUUUUUUAUUUUUUUACAAUCAUAUGAAAAUACAUUAAUGGAAGUCAUUAUUUCUUGCAGCUCUACCAUUACACAAACCAGUUCAAUUAUAAAGUACUUAUCCAUAUGAAAACAAGUAACCAUUUUUGGUAAAGGAUUUACAAGAAUCUACAUGGACAUGUGGUAGACAGAUAGACAUAUAGGUGUGUGCAUAAACAUAAAAUAAAAUACUACAAACUUCUUGUUUUAUUCACUCAUCUUGAAGUUGUAUAGUCAAUGUUACAUUUUUUUUCCCGACAAAUAUGGAAUUAGUUUCUUUUUUUUUAAAGACAGAUAAAAGAUCUUUUAUAUUGAAAUAAAGAUAAAAUAUCUUCCAUAUUUAGGGCUCUUUUCUCUUUUUAUUUGAGAAAAAAAUAAAAGAUCUUCUUUUAUAUUUUAAAAAAAGAUAAAAGAUUUUCCUUAUCUUUAGGGAUCUUUUCUAAAUAUCUUUUAUCUUUUAUCUUUUAUCUUUUUAAAAAGAAUUGUUAUGUGCAAGUGAUCGUAGAUACACACCGAGUGCGAUUGUACAAGAACAUCUCUUAUCAUGCAAAUGACCCACAGAAACACCCCUUCUUGUGUGGGUGAUCGUAGGUACACACUCCAUAAACAUGUUCGUAAUACGAAGGUACACUCUUUAUUGUGUAAGUGGGUUCCGUCGAAACACCCUUUAUUGUGAGAGUGUCGCGUAUAUACAAUAAAACUAUCCCCUAACAAAUGAUAUGUGAUCUGUAGGCACACCCCUAAAUCGUGUGAGUGCCCCUUAGAUAGAAUCACCUUACAGGUGGGGUAAAAAGCUCAACAUACAAAGUUAACAGAUACACCAUAGUCCAAAAGUAUGUAAUAAUCAACACAUCAUGACAUAAAUCAUCAAUCAUAGCAGUCCAUAAAACAAAACAAUCCAUAAAGCAUGAAAUCCAUAAAUCAUGCUUAAUCAUCAUGUAACGUCAGUCAACAACUAUAACAUCUCAUUAUGCAUUUUCAGCUACUAUUAAUGCAUAAUCACAAAACACAUAUGCAACUCUUAAAAUUGAGUUCGAAGGUCUAGUAGUAGAAUCUCUUACAUGAGAGAUUAGUUAACAAAUAAUCUCUAGCUAACAGUAAAAAUUCUCCAAUUAAUUCAAUUCUUAGUUAUGCUAAGUUUGUUGCUACAAACGAAACCACAAUUACCGUAGCUUACCAAACUUACCUAAACGGAGGUUGAAAAAUUCUCUCAACCUUGAUAAAAAGAUUUAUCACUUAAUCUUUUGACAAAGGAACCUAAGUUACCAAACUUAACUAAAUGUGGUGGGAUGAGGGAGUGAGAGUUAUUUCAGUGAAAUGAUGAAAACUCUUUUCUUUUUCCUUUUCUUUUCAAUUAAUUAAGUAAUCCAAUAAUGUUAUUUAUAAACCAAAAUAAUAAUAAUAAUAAUAACCACAUAUAUAUAUAUAUAUAUAUAUAUAUAUAUAUAUAUAUAAUAACCAAAAUAUAUAAUAAAAUAUAUAAUAACCACAUAUAUUUAUUCAAACUCUUAUUCCAUAAUCUAACUAAAUCUAUCAUUUUUUUUCUAAUCAAACCAACCAUGUUUUUCCUUAUUAAUUAUCUUAUUUUCCAAUAAUUAUAAUUAUAUUUCACGAUAGAAUUAACUUUACUUUUUUAUAUUAAUUAUUUAUAUAAAAUCAAAUAAUUAAUAUCACAUUCCACCCAAAAAAAUUUCUUAAAUAAAUAUAUAUAUUCUUAAUUAAUUCCAAUUUGGAACCAACUUUUCUUUGAGAAGCUCAAAUUCUCAAUUCUUUUUAAUUAACUAAGUCUUCUCCAAUAAAUCACGUAUUUUAAAUUUUCAUGAAUUCCAACAUGAAAUAUGAAAUUCAAUAAUUCAAUUUACCUCGAGAUAACUUCCAAAUAAUUUGAGACAAUCCUCCCUAAAAUUUUGGGAUGCUACAUUUUUAUUUUUCCAAUAAUUAUAUUUCGAUAUAUAAUUAUCAAUUUUUUUUAAAAUAAAUUUUAUUCAUUAUCUUUCCUUAUUCAACCAAUCAUAUCAACAUCUCUUCUCAAUCAAUAUUUAUAAUUAAUUAUUUUUCAUAAUAAUUACUUUUAACAAAUAAAAUAAUCUUUGCACUUUUCCAUAAUAAUUAUUUAUAUAAGUAUAUACAUUUAACUAUAAUUCUACCGACACCCAAAUUCACUAGUUAAAUAAAUAUUCACUCAAAGGAAUAUUUAAUAAAUUCCAAUUUCAACUUAACCAAUUAAUUCUCUUUCCAAAUAACUCAAAAUAACACCCAAUAAACUCAAACAUAAUUAAACAAAAUUAAGAUAAUUAAAUUAAAAUUACCUAAAUUUAUGGGCGUUAGAGGGAGUUCUCUAGACGUAGAUGGAUUCAUCGAACUGGGUUAACAAUUAAAGUUAUUUGUGCUGUCUGUAUUAUUUAUCUUUUUUGUUCCUUUAGUUAUUCCUCUAGUUGUUAGUUAAAGUAGUAGCUACAAAAAAAUCAUACUAUCUUAUUUUUAACCGUCAAUUAGAUGAUAAACAUAAAUCAAGAAGAAUGAGCUUCAUUGCAUCUGUUAAGUAAUAUAUAUCGAGUGUAUGUGAUAUUAAAGGGUAUUGGGUUUGAGGGAGGGCUAAAACAUUUAGAUUAAGGCUUCAUUACAAGUGUUCACGUUUAGAGCGCCAUAACAAUACUCUAUGCGAUUUACACAAAAUUUGUGUUCUCUGCCUUGCAGCGUGCCUAGUUUAGCACAACUAUGCUCUAAUGGUAAUUUGGCCUUUUGAUCUUUUUGGAUUGAUGCAAUUAAACUUUGUAAUUUUUUACCGUUUUAGCUUCCAUUUGUCAAUAACACCCGGGUUCCACUCUUUGGGUGGUCAAAAGUUAUGAAAAUGAUCAAAUAAACAUGUAAAAUCGAGAAAUGAUCUCAAAUGAAGCAGAAAAUAAGAUAGGCAUUAGUGUUAGAAACUACCCCUUGUGGAUAGAACAAACUACUCCUAUUUGAAGGCUCACUACCUUUUAUCUCAAAUCUAUUGGUAAUAAAAUUACCUUGAAAAUCAGUUGUUAUGGGGUUGGACUAUGACUAAUAGAUAUAAUUAUUAGCCAUUUUGAUUCAUAAAGUUUGAAGAAACUUCAUGCUCCUGUUUUUAGUUUUUAAUCUUCUUCCCUAUUUAAUUUUCUUCUCAGUUCUCUCUAUACUUAAUUUUAUAUAUAGUUGAUUUAUGUUAUUCUAUAAAUUGAUAUUUUAAUUUAAAAAAGAUAAAUUGUAGAAAUGUAUAAGCUACGACUACUAAUCACACCGAUAUACCAAAUUAACAUUAAUUUUACUAAAAACAGAAAACUCAAAUAACUAUAUGUUGUUAUACUAAAUAUAUAUGCACUAGCUAGUCUACCAAUUAGUCAAAUUCGUUAACAAUAGAGAUUACAAUUGUAUUAAAAAAAAAAGGUGUUAAUUUGGGUAUACUAAUCCUACCAACACGCUCAAAACCAAUUAAUCUUUCUGUAGUACAUCAUCAACAAUAUAUAUCAAAAUUUUAAUCUAUCAAAUAUCAAUGAAUAAACAUUAGUACAAAAGUAUUAGUUAAUUUAAUACAGUUAUGAGAUAUAUCAAUUAAUAAACAUAUUAAAUAUCUAGUCCGUCAACAAACUAUCAUACUGUUAGAUAUCAGUGAAGAAUAAUUUUAAAUAGUCUACAGGUGUUUUCGAUAGUAUAUAUCAUAUAUAUAAGAUAUAAGAGUAUUGAUCACAAUCAACACAAAUAUACCUAAAGUACGUAAGACAUAACUGUAUCAAUAAUAUAUCUAACACCAAUUAAAAUUAAAGUAUUGUAUCAGUAUGUUAGAUAAACAACAUGUUUUUAUAUAUUGAUAAAUAUAAGUAAACACGUAUGACAACAUUAGUUUAAUUUCAUAAUAGCUUGCCAAAUUACAUGAAAAUAAAAGAUGAAGAAGAGUAUAGUGUAAUGGUUAAGAUAUAUGCAUAUCUAUGUACCUUCAACUCUAGGGUUGACGGUCUUUCAAUCCUAACCUCCAAACUUCGGCUUCAAACUUAUGGAACUUAAAAAACAUAGGUGCAGACAUAAAAUAAAGUAUUACAACUUCUUAUUUUAUUCUCUCAUUUUGAAGUUGUACAGACUGAAUUAGACGAUUAGAGUUCAAUUAUUGCAUGUGUUAACCAAUAUAUCGAGCAUGGCCUCAACGGAUGUGUUGACAGAGAUUGGAUUAAUAUCUACUGCAAGAUCUAGGGCCAAGUUUAAACAAAUCUUAGCAUUAGUAGCUACUAGCCCUUGAAUCAAAUCACAACAUGGACGUACGGGUUCCUGAGAGCCAGCGGAUACAGUAAUAAAACCAAUUACACUUGCACACGCACUUACAUUGCCGGAGCAAUUGGUGGUCGGGCUCGACUCUGGUACAAUUGGUUGAGCAAUGGCAAGAGAAGAGAAGAGAAUUAGGUUGAGACAGAAGAAGAGAGCAAGUGAAAAGGAUUUGUCGGAGGAAGACAUUUUUCUUUUCUUUUUUUUUUUUUUUUGAAGAGAAGAAGAAAAGUGAAACUGUUUGGAGUGAAAUGGUUUUUGUUUAUGAAGUAGGGAUGGAGAAUAAAGUGUUGUGAUGGAAGGGUUUUUAUAGGAAGAAAUGUGGAUGGUUAAAUUAUGGUAAUUAGGAUAUGAGUUUUAAUUAUAAACCCAACUUGGAUAUGCUUUCAAAAUUCAACUAUAUAUCAAAAUUAAAUAAUGUGUUAAUAUUCAACUUCCUAACCCUACACUACCAAUAUAAUUUUGUGCUUUAAAACGGUUAAAGUACUCUCUCCCAUUUUUUUAUUUUAUUUAAUUGGCAUCUAAUUGUGUUCUCCCCUUCCUUUUCUUGAUUGAUAUUAUGGUUUUGAUUUUGAAUAAUUGCAUCAAUUGGAUACACACAGCUUUUAAGGUAUAUUUUUAGAAAUAAUGUCUCAAAAUAACUUUAUUUUUAUUUAGGUCUUUUGUUAUUUUAUCUCACUCCUAAUUAGUUAUGAUUAUUUUAACUGCGUUGUUUUUAAUUAGGGGAUUUGCA